rnacentral:rRNA from 1 species
CAAUAGCGUAUAUUAAAGCUGUUGCGGUUAAAAAGCUCGUAGUUGGAUUUCUGUCAAGGACAACUGGUCCGCCCUCCGGGUGAGCACAUAGUUUGGUCUUGACAUCUUGCUGGAAACUGUUGCUGCACUUGGUUGUGUGGCGCAGCAUCCAGCACUUUCACUUUGAGGAAAUUGGAGUGUUUCAAGCAGGCACAUGCCUUUGGACACAGUAGCAUGGAAUAAUUAGAUUGGGCUUUUGCUCCAAUUUGUCGGUUUCUGGAGCUGAGGUGAGAAUUAAUGGGGAUUGUUGGGGGCAUCCGAAUUUAGCCGUCAGAGGUGAAAUUCUUGGAUCUGCUAAAGACGGACAACUGCGAAAGCGUUUGCCCAGGAUGUUUUCAUUGA